rnacentral:rRNA from 1 species
UACGUAGGGUGCGAGUGUUAAUCGGAAUUACUGGGCGUAAAGCGUGCGCAGGCGGUGAUGUAAGACCGAUGUGAAAUCCCCGGGCUUAACCUGGGAACUGCAUUGGUGACUGCAUCGCUCGAGUAUGGCAGAGGGGGGUAGAAUUCCACGUGUAGCAGUGAAAUGCGUAGAGAUGUGGAGGAAUACCGAUGGCGAAGGCAGCCCCCUGGGUCAAUACUGACGCUCAUGCACGAAAGCGUGGGGAGCAAACAGG